CUUGGCACAAAGAGGCGAUGAAAGACGUGGCACUCUGCGAUAAGCUGCGGGGAGGGGAGAGCACCCUUUGAUCCGUGGAUUUCUGAAUGGGGAAACCCGGCGCUUUAGCGUCAUACUUUACUGAAUACAUAGGUAAAGUAAGCAAACCCGGCGAAGUGAAACAUCUCAGUAGCCGGAGGAAAGGACAUCAACCGAGACUCCGUUAGUAGUGGCGAGCGAACGCGGACCAGGCCAGUGGCCGUUGCGUAAGAACCGGAACCGUCUGGAAAGUCGGGCCAUAGCGGGUGAUAGCCCCGUACGGGUAGAAAGCAUUUUUGUCCUCGAGUAAGGCGGGGCACGUGAAACCCUGUCUGAACGUGGGGGGACCAUCCUCCAAGCCUAAGUACUCCUUAUCGACCGAUAGUGAAC
rnacentral:rRNA from 14 species